rnacentral:siRNA from 1 species
UACCACUGCAAUUAUUCUCACCAA